rnacentral:lncRNA from 1 species
CUGCGCCAUGAGCGUAUGAUACGCCCGACGUCUUAUGUGGAAGUUUUAUGCAAUAAUCAUAAAUAGUUUCUAAGAAAGUUUUAAGCAAUAACCAUAUAUUGUUUUUGAGACACGGCGGGACAUGUGAAACCCCGAACCCUGUUUUUUUUUUUUUUACGAAAAACUAAAUAUCACUAAAAUAAAAUUUUGAAUCAAAACCAAAAAGUAUACAGAUCUUUAGAUUAAUAUAACAAAGAAG